rnacentral:rRNA from 1 species
GUAGGUGGCAAGCGUUGUCCGGGAAUUAUUGGGGCGUAAAGCGCGCGCAGGCGGUUCUUUAAGUCUGAUGUGAAAGCCCACGGGCUCAACCGUGGUGGGUCAUUGGAAACUGGAGAACUUGAGUACAGAAGAGGAAAGCGGAAUUCCACGUGUAGCGGUGAAAUGCGUAGAGAUGUGGAGGAACACCAGUGGCGAAGGCGGCUUUCUGGUCUGUAACUGACGCUGAGGCGCGAAAGCGUGGGGAGCAAACAGGAUUAGAUACCCUGGUAGUCCACGCCGUAAACGAUGAGUGCUAAGUGUUAGGGGGUUUCCGCCCCUUAGUGCUGCAGCUAACGCAUUAAGCACUCCGCCUGGGGAGUACGGCCGCAAAGGCUGA